GGCACGGUGGUGCAGUGGUUAGCACUGUUGCCUCACAGCAGGGUCAUGUGUUCGAAUCCAGACUGGAGCCG